rnacentral:rRNA from 1 species
AGAGUUUGAUCCUGGCUCAGAACGAACGUUGGCGGCGUGGAUUAGGCAUGCAAGUCGAGCGGGAUUCUAAUUUUUCAAUUCUUCGGAAGAGAAGUUUUAGAUGAGAGCGGCGAACGGGUUAGUAAUAAAUGGGUAAUUUGCCUCUUUGUUCGGAAUAGCCACCGGAAACGGUGAUUAAUGCCGGAUGUGUUCGGGAACUGCAUAGUUCCUUAUAUAAAGGCAGGGAUUCUUCGGAACCUGUCGCAAAGAGAUAAGCCCAUUUCCUAUCAGCUUGUUGGUGGGGUAAUGGCUCACCAAGGCUUACGGGUAGUUGGUCUGAGAGGAUGAUCAGCAACACUGGGACUGAGACACUGCCCAGACUCCUACGGGAGGCUGCAGUCGAGAAUCAUUGUCAAUGCACGAAAGUGUGAACAUGCGACGCCGCGUGGAGGAAUACGGCCUUUGGGUUGUAAACUCCUGUCAGCAGGGAGUAAGGAUGGUCUGUUUAAUACAUUGACCGUUUGAUAGUACCUGCAGAGGAAGUCACGGCUAAUUCUGUGCCAGCAACCGCGGUAAUACAGAGGUGGCGAACGUUGUUCGGAUUUACUGGGCGUAAAGGGUCCGCAGGCGGUCCGGUGUGUCAGAUGUGAAAGCCCACAGCUUAACUGUGGAAUUGCAUUUGAAACUGCCGGACUAGAGUACUGGAGGGGAGAAGGGAACACUUGGUGUAGCGGUGAAAUGCGUAGAUAUCAAGUGGAACACCGGUGGCGAAGGCGCUUCUCUGGACAGAUACUGACGCUCAUGGACGAAAGUUAGGGUAGCGAAAGGGAUUAGAUACCCCUGUAGUCCUAACCGUAAACGGUGUGCGCUAGGCGUGGGUGGCCUUACCCCCAUCCGUGCCUGAGCUAACGCAUUAAGCGCACCGCCUGGGGAGUACGGUCGCAAGAUUAAAACUCAAAGGAAUUGACGGGGACCCGCACAAGCGGUGGAGCAUGUGGCUUAAUUCGAUGCAACGCGAAGAACCUUACCUGGGCUUGACAUAUAGCUGCAUACGAUCCGAAAGGAACGUAGCCUUCGAGGGUGCUAUACAGGUGCUGCAUGGCUGUCGUCAGCUCGUGCCGUGAGGUGUUGGGUUAAGUCCCGCAACGAGCGCAACCCCUGUGUUUAGUUGCCAGCACGUAAUGGUGGGAACUCUAAACAGACUGCCUGUGAAAACAGGAGGAAGGUGGGGAUGACGUCAAG